UACAGAGGUCUCAAGCGUUGUUCGGAUUCAUUGGGCGUAAAGGGUGCGUAGGCGGCGGGGCAAGUCGGAUGUGAAAUCUCAGGGCUCAACCCUGAAACUGCAUUCGAUACUGCCUUGCUCGAGGACUGGAGAGGAGAUUGGAAUUCACGGUGUAGCAGUGAAAUGCGUAGAUAUCGGGAGGAAUACCAGUGGCGAAGGCGGCGACCUGGGCCAAUACUGACGCUGAGGUGCGAAAGCGUGGGGAGCAAACAGG
rnacentral:rRNA from 1 species